CUAAACUCUCUCUCUCUCUCUGUGUUCCGCGUUCGGUUCGGCCGCCCCAACCUUUGGCUGCUCCAUAAAUGGCGGUGGCUGACACUGAAGAAUACAUUGAUGGACUAUUCACUGGAAACAUGGGGGAACCCUCUCCUCAAGUAACUUGGACAAAUAUACAUGCAGUUAAUUGUUUAUACUCAUCUAAAGCUCGUGCUCGAAUCAAAGAGGAACCAUAUCAUCAUCCAGCAAGAAGAAAGAGGCAAGUAAUUGAAAUUGAACGUCAUUUAU